rnacentral:rRNA from 1 species
CACUGACAUUAGAUACCCGGGUAGUCCCAGCCGUAAACUAUGCGCGUUAGGUGUAUCGGUGACCACGAGUUACCGAGGUGCCGAAGGGAAACCGUGAAACGUGCCGCCUGGGAAGUACGGUCGCAAGGCUGAAACUUAAAGGAAUUGGCGGGGGAGCACCACAACAGGUGGAGCCUGCGGUUUAAUUGGACUCAACGCCGGGAAGCUCACCGGAUAGGACAGCAGAAUGAUUGCCGGGCUGAAGACCCUGCAUGACUAGCUG